rnacentral:tRNA from 1 species
AGGACGCCAAUUAACAAUUGGGGUACGCAUAGGUUGCAAAUGGGCCUCCAAAACCCAUGAAAAGGUUUCGAAUACCU